CCCAAAAAAAAAAUAUAUAUAUAUAUAUGUCUUUAGGAUGUUAUCAUCUUAAUGUUAGAUAAAACCCUAACUAGAACUUCAUGUGAAUGUUAGCUAAUGUCCUGCGAAUGUUCCUGGUAUUCUGCGGUUAUACUCAACUCGUUUUUCCUGUGUUAUUACUGUAUGGUUGCAUACCAGCUAAAACACCAUUUUAAAAGGUUGGACAGAGCUUAUAAAUGUGUUCUUAACUGAUUUGCCUGGUUAAAUAAAGGUUUAAUAACAAAAUAAAAAAGUUUUAAAACAAGGCUGAAAGACCAACCGAAGGGAAGAUCAAACAACUUUGAAAAUGAGGUCAUUUCCACACAUCCUUUGAUCUGUCCAUUUGUCAUGUAGGAGACGAAUGGCGUACAGAGGGAUCUAUCAUAGCGACCAGCUUUAAGCCCCCAAAAUUACAAACAAACUAAAGGCGAAGGAUCGAUAGAGAGUGUCUCACGGAAUGAUGAACUGGCACUUCGGGGUAGGGGAAAAUCAAUGUCUCUCACUCUCUUUCUUCUCUCUCUCUUUCGCCCUCUCUCUCUUUCGCACCACCACACACUAGUGUUUUACUGUGUGUUUACUGAGUCUGUGUGGGUUUUCUUACCACAGUGAUUUAACAUCCAAAUGUUUAUUUUUCCCUCUUCCAGCAUCGACACUUUGACCUGUGAGAGAGAGGAGAGUCCUAUAAUGGCCCAUAGGAUAAGCAGUAAAAAAACAACUGAGGAGCAUCUGUUUGUGGAUCCAGUCCAUGUCAACCUUCAGAGCAACCAGACAUCUUCCCACUAACACAUCUGACUUCUGCUGAAAGAUCAGGGAGAAGGAGGAAGUAGCCUUGAGAAAAACAUCACAGCCGAUUGGAGUGGAGCUAGAGCACCUAUCCCAGCUGCCAAAGCUGUGCAUAGCGUCAAAAAGAGCUCACACUAAGCAGCCCUUUCACAAUAACUUUUCAUUCAGAUUUAACUCAGCUCAACAUGACCAACAGUUUACGUGAUGGAGGUAAUGAUUGCUUGAGCAGUUGUUAAAUCAUCUUGAGCAUCUGGAAUGUGGUGAUCACUAGUCGAUAAAGUAAUUUGUCUUUGG
rnacentral:lncRNA from 13 species